rnacentral:rRNA from 1 species
GAUGAACGCUGGCGGCGUGCCUAAUACAUGCAAGCCGAGCGAACAGACGAGGAGCUUGCUCCUCUGACGUUAGCGGCGGACGGGUGAGUAACACGUGGAUAACCUACCUAUAAGACUGGGAUAACUUCGGGAAACCGGAGCUAAUACCGGAUAAUAUAUUGAACCGCAUGGUUAAAUAGUGAAAGAAGGUUUUGCUGUCACUUAUAGAUGGAUCCGCGCCGCAUUAGCUAGUUGGUAAGGUAACGGCUUACCAAGGCGACGAUGCGUAGCCGACCUGAGAGGGUGAUCGGCCACACUGGAACUGAGACACGGUCCAGACUCCUACGGGAGGCAGCAGUAGGGAAUCUUCCGCAAUGGGCGAAAGCCUGACGGAGCAACGCCGCGUGAGUGAUGAAGGUCUUCGGAUCGUAAAACUCUGUUAUUAGGGAAGAACAAAUGUGUAAGUAACUAUGCACGUCUUGACGGUACCUAAUCAGAAAGCCACGGCUAACUACGUG